AGAGUUUGAUCCUGGCUCAGGACGAACGCUGGCGGCGUGCUUAACACAUGCAAGUCGAACGGAAAGGCCCUGCUUUUGUGGGGUGCUCGAGUGGCGAACGGGUGAGUAACACGUGAGUAACCUGCCCUUGACUUUGGGAUAACUUCAGGAAACUGGGGCUAAUACCGGAUAGGAGCUCCUGCUGCAUGGUGGGGGUUGGAAAGUUUCGGCGGUUGGGGAUGGACUCGCGGCUUAUCAGCUUGUUGGUGGGGUAGUGGCUUACCAAGGCUUUGACGGGUAGCCGGCCUGAGAGGGUGACCGGCCACAUUGGGACUGAGAUACGGCCCAGACUCCUACGGGAGGCAGCAGUGGGGAAUAUUGCACAAUGGGCGGAAGCCUGAUGCAGCAACGCCGCGUGCGGGAUGACGGCCUUCGGGUUGUAAACCGCUUUCGCCUGUGACGAAGCGUGAGUGACGGUAAUGGGUAAAGAAGCACCGGCUAACUACGUGCCAGCAGCCGCGGUGAUACGUAGGGUGCGAGCGUUGUCCGGAUUUAUUGGGCGUAAAGGGCUCGUAGGUGGUUGAUCGCGUCGGAAGUGUAAUCUUGGGGCUUAACCCUGAGCGUGCUUUCGAUACGGGUUGACUUGAGGAAGGUAGGGGAGAAUGGAAUUCCUGGUGGAGCGGUGGAAUGCGCAGAUAUCAGGAGGAACACCAGUGGCGAAGGCGGUUCUCUGGGCCUUUCCUGACGCUGAGGAGCGAAAGCGUGGGGAGCGAACAGGCUUAGAUACCCUGGUAGUCCACGCUGUAAACGGUGGGUACUAGGUGUGGGGUCCAUUCCACGGGUUCCGUGCCGUAGCUAACGCUUUAAGUACCCCGCCUGGGGAGUACGGCCGCAAGGCUAAAACUCAAAGGAAUUGACGGGGCCCCGCACAAGCGGCGGAGCAUGCGGAUUAAUUCGAUGCAACGCGUAGAACCUUACCUGGGUUUGACAUGGAUCGGGAGUGCUCAGAGAUGGGUGUGCCUCUUUUGGGGUCGGUUCACAGGUGGUGCAUGGCUGUCGUCAGCUCGUGUCGUGAGAUGUUGGGUUAAGUCCCGCAACGAGCGCAACCCUUGUUCACUGUUGCCAGCACGUUAUGGUGGGGACUCAGUGGAGACCGCCGGGGUCAACUCGGAGGAAGGUGGGGAUGACGUCAAGUCAUCAUGCCCCUUAUGUCCAGGGCUUCACGCAUGCUACAAUGGCUGGUACAGAGAGUGGCGAGCCUGUGAGGGUGAGCGAAUCUCGGAAAGCCGGUCUCAGUUCGGAUUGGGGUCUGCAACUCGACCUCAUGAAGUCGGAGUCGCUAGUAAUCGCAGAUCAGCAACGCUGCGGUGAAUACGUUCCCGGGGCUUGUACACACCGCCCGUCAAGUCAUGAAAGUUGGUAACACCCGAAGCCGGUGGCCUAACCGUUGUGGGGGAGCCGUCGAAGGUGGGACUGGUGAUUAGGACUAAGUCGUAACAAGGUAGCCGU
rnacentral:rRNA from 1 species